rnacentral:rRNA from 1 species
UGUAAGCGUAUACCAAAGUUGUUGCAGUUAAAACGCUCGUAGUCGGAAUUUGGCAGUUCCAGAUGUGUGCACGUCGUGUGCGCACUUCGCGGGGAUUGCUUUUGUGGUCUUGCGUAGGAUGAGGCACUUUUAUUAGUGAACGUCCUCACGCAACCACUUUUUACUGUGAGAAAAUCAGAGUGCUCAAAGCAGGCAUUUGCCGUGAAUGUAUUAGCAUGGAAUAAUAGAAUAGGACUUGGUUCUAUUUUGUUGGUUUGUUGGGACUGAGUAAUGAUUAAGAGGGACAGUUGGGGGCAUUUGUAUUUCGGUGCUAGAGGUGAAAUUCUUAGAUUACCGAAAGACAAACUGCUGCGAAAGCGUCUGCCAAGGAUGUUUUCAUUGA